GGGAAGGUGGCUCAGUGGUAGAGCGCUUGCCUUGCAUGCAUGAGGUCCUGGGUUCGAUUCCUUACCACCACA
rnacentral:tRNA from 1 species